ACGUAGGAGGCGAGCGUUAUCCGGAUUUACUGGGUGUAAAGCGCGCGCAGGCGGGUAUACAAGUUGGAUGUGAAAGCCAUGGGCUCAACCCGGGGACGGCAUUUGAGACUGCAUUUCUUGAGUGAUGGAGAGGCAAGUGGAAUUCCUAGUGUAGUGGUGAAAUGCGUAGAUAUUAGGAGGAACACCAGUGGCGAAGGCGACUUCCUGGAUAUUAACUGACGCUGAGGCGCGAAAGCUUGGGGAGCAAACAG
rnacentral:rRNA from 1 species